UUCUUAUCGAGAGAGACCGAGGGACUGGCCCAAGGACGUCUCGGCAGCAGACUCUUUGAAAGAGUGCUGUGCCAAAUCCAGCAAGCAAAAUGUGCUUGAAAGAUAAGAA
rnacentral:ncRNA from 2 species